CCAUAUUAUACUAAUAACACUUUAUGUGAGUUACAGAAUAUCAUCCAAGGAGAAAAAACCCAACAACAACGUGAACAUCAAGGACUAGAAACGAAUUAUACACAGAGGACCGCCGCCGUGCAGAAGGAAAGUAUCGUGCAAAAGGAAAGUACCAAUACAAGCAAGCUAGAGGAACGAAUAAGCGCAGUGGAAGAAAAAAUUAGCAACAUAGAAGCGAUAAUGAAGAGAAUUGAAACAACACAGCAGAAAAUUCUCAAAUGUGUCCAAGAGCGCCAUUGUGCACCAGCAAAGCCGCAUAGACUACCCAUUACAACAAUGGAAGAAAUGGAUGCUUUUGAAAACGAGGAUGAAUAACGUUAUUCGGAAGCGGUAACUUAUUUACAUUACGUUGGUGGCUUCAACCUCAAGGAAGCUACACAGUUGUGUCUCAAGGAAGCAGUGUCCGACGCCCUAAUAACACGUUUUACGUGGUUCGGCCGCGAGAAAGAACGCCGAGCAUUAUAUGACACUCGAUUGGCACGAGCCAUAUAUGAUGCAAUUUGUAGGAAUCGUCAUUUUGACAGGCCCCUGAGAUCCGAGUUCCAGAAGCAAAUGAGGGAGGCUCUUCGGAUAACGAAGGAGAGACACGCCAACGAAUGCGUGGUCCACGUCCAACAGCCGCAAGGAAGAGGGCGGAGGAUAACUUGUGGAACGAUGAGGAAGAGGAAGAGGACAACAUGGAGGAACCGAGCACCUAAGAAUAUAAAAUUAUGAAAGUGAAGCCCAGAUAGAAGCCAGGAAAAUAGAGGAGAAGCGGCCCGACUCUGAACGCGUUCUUUUUGGUUUCGGAUGAUGUGGGGGAGGAUCCGGAAGUGCAUCUGCACUCACCGAAACUCUUGCGCGCAUCAUCCUCGCGAGACGCCUCUCUUCAUCCUAGAAGCUCCCGCAGCAAGCUGGCCAAUACAGAAUGCAAGGCAAAUGGAGAACCAGGUCGAGAAGAAGGUGAAUAAUGUCUCGUUGAACGUCGAUCCCAUGCUGCCUAUACCAAGAGAACUCGCCGCUGCUCACAGAAUACACCGGUGGAAUUUGGUAUUGCUGAUCAGGGCGUACUUCGUGCCAAUUAUCAGGAAGAAUUAAUGGGAGAAAUUAACGUCGGAGAUUAAACUGAUACACAUACCUGCGAAUUUCAUAGAAUAGUCCGUCGAGAGGGAAGAUU
rnacentral:lncRNA from 1 species